CCUACGGGGUGCAGCAGUCGAGAAUCAUUCACAAUGGGGAAAACCCUGAUGGUGCGACGCCGCGUGGGGGAAUGAAGGUCUUCGGAUUGUAAACCCCUGUCAUGUGGGAGCAAAUUAAAAAGAUAGUACCACAAGAGGAAGAGACGGCUAACUCUGUGCCAGCAGCCGCGGUAAUACAGAGGUCUCAAGCGUUGUUCGGAAUCACUGGGCGUAAAGCGUGCGUAGGCUGUUUCGUAAGUCGUGUGUGAAAGGCGCGGGCUCAACCCGCGGACGGCACAUGAUACUGCGAGACUAGAGUAAUGGAGGGGGAACCGGAAUUCUCGGUGUAGCAGUGAAAUGCGUAGAUAUCGAGAGGAACACUCGUGGCGAAGGCGGGUUACUGGACAUUAACUGACGCUGAGGCACGAAGGCCAGGGGAGCGAAAGGGAUUAGAUACCCCAGUAGUC
rnacentral:rRNA from 1 species